AGUGAACGCUGGCGGUAUGCCUAACACAUGCAAGUCGAACGGCAGCACAGUAAGUGCUUGCUCUUACGGGUGGCGAGUGGCGGACGGGUGAGGUAUACUUCGGAUUCUACUUUUUCGGGGGGGAUAACGCAGGGUAACGUACGCUAAUACCGCAUAUGUCCUCCUGGUGAAAGCAGGGGAUCUUCUGACCUUGCGCGAUUGUAUGAGCCGAUGUCGGAGUAGCUAGUUGGCGGGGUAAAGGCCCACCAAGGCGACGAUCCGUAGCUGGUCUGAGAGGGUCGUCAGCCACACUGGAACAGAGACACGGUCCACACUCCUGCGCGAGGACGCAGUCGAGAAUAUUACGCGAUGGGGGAGAGCCUGAUACAGCAAUACCGGGUAGGUCAUGAACGACUUCUGGUUGUUAAGCCCUUUUGUUGGGAAAGAAAAGAAGCACGUUAACCCCCCGCUGUUCUGACGGUACCCAAAGAAUAAGCACCGGCUAACUUCGUG
rnacentral:rRNA from 1 species